rnacentral:lncRNA from 1 species
GUCAUCACUUCAUUUUUUUGCGCCUGCGCAUAAAUCUGAGAAACGUGAGUUUGUCAUCAUUUUUUAUCUAGACAUAGGAUAGGUUGUGUGAAAAUAUUACUGAUGUUUAACGUUAAAAAUGGACCAAAAGAUUAAUGCUAAACAACAUUUGACAUGUUUGAACGAACAUAAAUAGAUUAUUUACUAGGUUUUUUAGCUUUUCGGCGUGAUUUUACCAGCCCCCCAACCACGUUUUGUGGGAGCAUAAUGAACGCUAAGUACUUGGUGUUAUUUGGACAUAAAUUAUGAACUUUGUCAAAAGAAACCACAUUUGUUCCGGACCUGGAAUGCCUUCCGGACCUGGGAUCCUGCCUUCUGAUGGAGAUAAUCAAAGGUGGACUCCAAUCAAGUUAUAGAAACAUCAAGGAUGAUCAAUGGAAACUGGAUGCACCCGAGUUCAAUUUCAAGUCUCAUAACAAAAGAUCUGAAUAGUUAUGUAAAUAAGGUAUUUCUGUCUUUUGUGUUUUAUAAACAUUUUCUUCAAAGCUGUUUUUGCUUUGUCAUUAUGGAGUAUUGUAUGUAGAUUGUUGAGGAUGUUUUUUUAUAUCCAUUUUAGAAUAAGGCUGUAAAGUAACAAAAUGUGAAAAAAGUUAAGGGGUUUGAAUACUUUCCGAAGGCACUGUAUAUAAUUAUUUCCUUUUUUUCCGCACACAAAUAAUAUGAGUAAUAAUAUAGGCACCUUCUAUGAAGGAUUGUUAACUUUAACAAGUACCGGCAGUAGAAAAUAAACAUUUAGGUAAGCAGAUAUUAUUUAUUUUAUAUUACAUCAUUACCUCAUACAGUAGCAACGACUGUGGGAUGCAAAAGCCACACGCCACACGCCUCACCCACAUAAACACAUCUACACCGCUCCCAUUCCACCCAUACACACACGCAUACACAAACACACACACAUCCAAAAGCAUCCGACCACAAGCUCAGUUGUUCAUCAGUUGUUCCAUUCCAGCUCAAGAGUAGACUAGCUGUGUGAAUGCAUAUACGAUUGCAGCUGUUCAACAGGAGCGCCAAAUUUAGCAGGAAUGAGAAGAUUUGAUUACCCACUGUCUAGUGCUGGCUGACGGAGCUC